UACGUAGGGCGCAAGCGUUGUCCGGAAUCAUUGGGCGUAAAGAGCGUGUAGGCGGCUUGGUAAGUCCGCUGUGAAAGUCCAGGGCUCAACCCUGGAAUGCCGGUGGAAACUGCCAAGCUAGAGUCCGGAAGAGGCGAGUGGAAUUCCUGGUGUAGCGGUGAAAUGCGCAGAUAUCAGGAGGAACACCAAUGGCGAAGGCAGCUCGCUGGGACGUUACUGACGCUGGAGACGCGAAAGCGUGGGGAGCAAACAGG
rnacentral:rRNA from 1 species